rnacentral:rRNA from 1 species
GAUGAACGCUGGCGGCGUGCUUAACACAUGCAAGUCGAACGGGUGCAGCAAUGCAUCAGUGGCAGACGGGUGAGUAACACGUGGGAACCUUCCUAGGGGUACGGAACAACUCAGGGAAACUUGAGCUAAUACCGUAUACGUCCGUGAGGAGAAAGAUUUAUCACCCUUAGACGGGCCCGCGUCGGAUUAGCUAGUUGGUGGGGUAACGGCCUACCAAGGCGACGAUCCGUAGCUGAUCUUAGAGGAUGAUCAGCCACACUGGGACUGAGACACGGCCCAGACUCCUACGGGAGGCAGCAGUGGGGAAUCUUAGACAAUGGGGGAAACCCUGAUCUAGCCAUGCCGCGUGAUCGAUGAAGGCCUUAGGGUUGUAAAGGUCUUUCAGUUGGGAAGAUAAUGACGGUACCAACAGAAGAAGCCCCGGCUAACUCCGUGCCAGCCGCCGCGGUAAGAC